AUAUCAAUAAGCGGAGGAAAAGAAACCAACAGGGAUUGCCCCAGUAACGGCGAGUGAAGCGGCAACAGCUCAAAUUUGAAAUCUGGCCCCCGUGGCCCGAGUUGUAAUUUGGAGAAGGUGCUUCGGGCGCGGCGACGGUCCAAGUCCCUUGGAACGGGGCGUCAUAGAGGGUGAGAGCCCCGUACGCGGCCGCCCGCCAACCCCGUGUGAAGCCCUUUCGACGAGUCGAGUUGUUUGGGAAUGCAGCUCAAAAUGGGUGGUAAAUUUCAUCUAAAGCUAAAUACCCGCCAGAGACCGAUAGCGCACAAGUAGAGUGAUCGAAAGAUGAAAAGCACUUUGGAAAGAGAGUGAAACAGUACGUGAAAUUGUUGAAAGGGAAGCGCUUGCAACCAGACUCGCCCGCGGGCGUUCAGCCGCCCCCCGGGGUGGUGUACUCGCCCGCGGUCGGGCCAGCAUCGAUUCUGGCGGCCGGACAAAGGUCCCGGGAACGUGGCUCUCUUCGGGGAGCGUUAUAGCCCGGGGCGCAAUGCGGCCAGCCGGGGUCGAGGACCGCGCUUUUUGCUAGGAUGCUGGCGUAAUGGUUGCCAGCGACCCGUCUUGAAACACGGACCAAGGAGUCGACCGACCGCGCGAGUGUUUGGGCGUCAAACCCAUGCGCGCAAUGAAAGUGAACGGAGGUGGGAGCCCCCGGGCGCACCAUCGACCGAUCCUGAUGUCUUCGGAUGGAUUUGAGUAUGAGCGUGGGCGGUCGGACCCGAAAGGUGAGCCCUUAAUCAAUUCCCCCCGCUGUAAUUUAUCAACUAACUUUUUUUUUUCAGACAGUGAGCUAUGCGUGAAUAGGGUGAAGCCAGAGGAAACUCUGGUGGAGGCUCGCAGCGGUUCUGACGUGCAAAUCGAUCGUCAAAUUUGCGUAUAGGGGCGAAAGACUAAUCGAACUGUCUAGUAGCUGGUUCCUGCCGAAGUUUC
rnacentral:rRNA from 2 species